UUUGAAACCUUCGUAAAGAAAACUUCUCCCCAUUUAAUACUUGCUGGAAAACAGAUUCAAACUUUAGAAAUGAGAGAUUUUUCGGAAAUUGCAGUUUUGACCCCAAAGUUUCAAGAUUUACACAUGCAACCACACUAGAAGUUCAAAAUCCACUUUUUCAUGAAAAACCCCUAACAAUCUGGAAUUUUACUUUAAUAAAUGCAGAAAACAAAUUUAAAAAGUUACUUUAUGCAGAAAUUUCGAAAAUUACAUAUUUCACCCCAAAAUCUCU
rnacentral:lncRNA from 1 species